rnacentral:misc_RNA from 1 species
GAUUUUAAAAUCUCCAAUUGCUCUGUAAUUCAUGAUAGAUACAUACAUAUAUAUAAGUAUUAAGCACAAGAUUUUCCUCAGGAAUUAAUAUUUCUAUUUCUUUAUUGGUUCAUUUGGCUUGGAUCCAACUCGAGGCCUAUCAAACUUGGAGACGACUUCCGUAUUUUUGAGCUAAAAAGCUCAUUGGUAAUAAUAUUUCUAUUUCUAUGUGUAUGCAAUAUGGAAGUGGGAGAGAGAUAAUUUCAGUUACCUUUCAGAACAUUGUUGUAGAUCU